rnacentral:rRNA from 1 species
CCUGGUUGAUCCUGCCAGUAGUCAUAUGCUUGUCUCAAAGAUUAAGCCAUGCAUGUCUAAGUGCAUGCCAAAUUAAGGUGAAACCGCGAAUGGCUCAUUAAAUCAGUUAUGGUUCCUUAGAUCGUACCCACAUUUACUUGGAUAACUGUGGUAAUUCUAGAGCUAAUACAUGCAAACCAGAGUUCCGACCAGAGAUGGAAGGAACGCUUUUAUUAGAUCAAAACCAAUCGGUGGCGGGCUUUGCUCGUCCACCGUUUACUUUGGUGACUCUGAAUAACUUUGUGCUGAUCGCACGGUCUCGUACCGGCGACGCAUCUUUCAAAUGUCUGCCUUAUCAACUGUCGAUGGUAGGUUCUGCGCCUACCAUGGUUGUAACGGGUAACGGGGAAUCAGGGUUCGAUUCCGGAGAGGGAGCCUGAGAAACGGCUACCACAUCCAAGGAAGGCAGCAGGCGCGCAAAUUCCCCACUCCCGGCACGGGGAGGUAGUGACGAAAAAUAACGAUACGGGACUCAUCCGAGGCCCCGUAAUCGGAAUGAGUACACUUUAAAUCCUUUAACGAGGAUCAAUUGGAGGGCAAGUCUGGUGCCAGCAGCCGCGGUAAUUCCAGCUCCAAUAGCGUAUAUUAAAGUUGUUGCGGUUAAAAAGCUCGUAGUUGAAUCUGUGUCGCACGCUGUCGGUUCGCCGCUCGCGGUGUUUAACUGACAUGCUCGUGAGACGUCCUACCGGUGGGCUUAGCUCCUUCGGGGGCGGUCCAACUAAUAUCCCAUCGCGGUGCUCUUUAUUGAGUGUCGAGGUGGGCCGGUACGUUUACUUUGAACAAAUUAGAGUGCUUAAAGCAGGCUAUCAUUUGCCUGAAUAUUCUGUGCAUGGAAUAAUGGAAUAGGACCUCGGUUCUAUUUUGUUGGUUUUAAGAAACCCGAGGUAAUGAUUAAUAGGGACAGAUGGGGGCAUUCGUAUUGCGACGUUAGAGGUGAAAUUCUUGGAUCGUCGCAAGACGGACAGAAGCGAAAGCAUUUGCCAAAAAUGUUUUCAUUAAUCAAGAACGAAAGUUAGAGGUUCGAAGGCGAUCAGAUACCGCCCUAGUUCUAACCAUAAACGAUGCCAGCUAGCGAUCCGCCGAAGUUCCUCCGAUGACUCGGCGGGCAGCUUCCGGGGAACCAAAGCUUUUGGGUUCCGGGGGAAGUAUGGUUGCAAAGCUGAAACUUAAAGGAAUUGACGGAAGGGCACCACCAGGAGUGGAGCCUGCGGCUUAAUUUGACUCAACACGGGAAACCUCACCAGGCCCGGACACCGGAAGGAUUGACAGAUUGAGAGCUCUUUCUUGAUUCGGUGGGUGGUGGUGCAUGGCCGUUCUUAGUUGGUGGAGCGAUUUGUCUGGUUAAUUCCGAUAACGAACGA